rnacentral:rRNA from 1 species
AUUGAACGCUGGCGGCAUGCCUAACACAUGCAAGUCGAACGGAAACGAUGGGAGCUUGCUCCCAGGCGUCGAGUGGCGGACGGGUGAGUAAUACUUAGGAAUCUGCCCAUUAGUGGGGGACAACAUUCGGAAACGGAUGCUAAUACCGCAUACGCCCUACGGGGGAAAGCGGGGGAUCUUCGGACCUCGCGCUAAUGGAUGAGCCUAAGUCGGAUUAGCUUGUUGGUGAGGUAAGGGCUCACCAAGGCGACGAUCCGUAGCUGGUCUGAGAGGACGAUCAGCCACACUGGGACUGAGACACGGCCCAGACUCCUACGGGAGGCAGCAGUGGGGAAUAUUGCACAAUGGGCGCAAGCCUGAUGCAGCAAUGCCGCGUGUGUGAAGAAGGCCUGCGGGUUGUAAAGCACUUUCAGUAGAGAAGAAAAGCCUACGGUUAAUACCCGUGAGUCUUGACGUAACCUACAGAAGAAGCACCGGCUAACUCCGUG